rnacentral:tRNA from 1 species
GCCUUCAUGGUGUAGUGGUCGGCACGCUCGGCGUGAAUUCGAGAGGUUCGUGGUUCGAGUCCCUGUUCGGGCG